rnacentral:rRNA from 1 species
UACGUAGGGUGCGAGCGUUGUCCGGAAUUAUUGGGCGUAAAGGGCUCGUAGGCGGUUUGUCGCGUCGGGAGUGAAAACACCGGGCUUAACUCGGUGCUUGCUUUCGAUACGGGCAGACUGGAGGUAUGCAGGGGAGAACGGAAUUCCUGGUGUAGCGGUGAAAUGCGCAGAUAUCAGGAGGAACACCGGUGGCGAAGGCGGUUCUCUGGGCAUGUCCUGACGCUGAGGAGCGAAAGUGUGGGGAGCGAACAGG